rnacentral:rRNA from 1 species
UACGAAGGGGGGCUAGCGUUAUUCGGAAUUACUGGGCGUAAAGCGCACGUAGGCGGCUUUGUAAGUUAGAGGUGAAAGCCUGGAGCUCAACUCCAGAAUAGCCUUUAAGACUGCAUCGCUUGAAUCCAGGAGAGGUGAGUGGAAUUCCGAGUGUAGAGGUGAAAUUCGUAGAUAUUCGGAAGAACACCAGUGGCGAAGGCGGCUCACUGGACUGGUAUUGACGCUGAGGUGCGAAAGCGUGGGGAGCAAACAGG